AAAAAUUAGCGGAUGACUUGUGGCUGGGGGUGAAAGGCCAAUCAAACCGGGAGAUAGCUGGUUCUCCCCGAAAGCUAUUUAGGUAGCGCCUCGUGAAUUCAUCUCCGGGGGUAGAGCACUGUUUCGGCAAGGGGGUCAUCCCGACUUACCAACCCGAUGCAAACUGCGAAUACCGGAGAAUGUUAUCACGGGAGACACACGGCGGGUGCUAACGUCCGUCGUGAAGAGGGAAACAACCCAGACCGCCAGCUAAGGUCCCAAAGUCAUGGUUAAGUGGGAAACGAUGUGGGAAGGCCCAGACAGCCAGGAUGUUGGCUUAGAAGCAGCCAUCAUUUAAAGAAAGCGUAAUAGCUCACUGGUCGAGUCGGCCUGCGCGGAAGAUGUAACGGGGCUAAACCAUGCACCGAAGCUGCGGCAGCGACGCUUAUGCGUUGUUGGGUAGGGGAGCGUUCUGUAAGCCUGCGAAGGUGUGCUGUGAGGCAUGCUGGAGGUAUCAGAAGUGCGAAUGCUGACAUAAGUAACGAUAAAGCGGGUGAAAAGCCCGCUCGCCGGAAGACCAAGGGUUCCUGUCCAACGUUAAUCGGGGCAGGGUGAGUCGACCCCUAAGGCGAGGCCGAAAGGCGUAGUCGAUGGGAAACAGGUUAAUAUUCCUGUACUUGGUGUUACUGCGAAGGGGGGACGGAGAAGGCUAUGUUGGCCGGGCGACGGUUGUCCCGGUUUAAGCGUGUAGGCUGGUUUUCCAGGCAAAUCCGGAAAAUCAAGGCUGAGGCGUGAUGACGAGGCACUACGGUGCUGAAGCAACAAAUGCCCUGCUUCCAGGAAAAGCCUCUAAGCAUCAGGUAACAUCAAAUCGUACCCCAAACCGACACAGGUGGUCAGGUAGAGAAUACCAAGGCGCUUGAGAGAACUCGGGUGAAGGAACUAGGCAAAAUGGUGCCGUAACUUCGGGAGAA
rnacentral:rRNA from 1 species